GAACGCUGGCGGCAGGCCUAACACAUGCAAGUCGAGCGGUAACAGGAAUUAGCUUGCUAAUUCGCUGACGAGCGGCGGACGGGUGAGUAAUGCCUGGGAAUAUGCCUUAGUGUGGGGGAUAACUAUUGGAAACGAUAGCUAAUACCGCAUAACGUCUUCGGACCAAAGAGGGGGACCUUCGGGCCUCUCGCGCUAAGAUUAGCCCAGGUGGGAUUAGCUAGUUGGUGAGGUAAAGGCUCACCAAGGCAACGAUCCCUAGCUGGUCUGAGAGGAUGAUCAGCCACACUGGAACUGAGACGCGGUCCAGACUCCUACGGGAGGCAGCAGUGGGGAAUAUUGCACAAUGGGGGAAACCCUGAUGCAGCCAUGCCGCGUGUAUGAAGAAGGCCUUCGGGUUGUAAAGUACUUUCAGUCGUGAGGAAGGCAUUGUAGUUAAUAGCUGCAGUGCUUGACGUUAGCGACAGAAGAAGCACCGGCUAACUCCGUG
rnacentral:rRNA from 1 species